CGCCUACGGGAGGCAGCAGUGAGGAAUAUUGGUCAAUGGGCUUACGCCUGAACCAGCUAAGUCGCGUGAGGGAAGACUGCCCUAUGGGUUGUAAACCUCUUUUGUCAGGGAGCAAUUGGCGCUACGUGUAGCGUUAUCGAGAGUACCUGAAGAAAAAGCAUCGGCUAACUCCGUGCCAGCAGCCGCGGUAAUACGGAGGAUGCGAGCGUUAUCCGGAUUUAUUGGGUUUAAAGGGUGCGCAGGCGGGAGAUCAAGUCAGCGGUAAAAUUUCGGGGCUCAACCCCGGCCGGCCGUUGAAACUGGUG
rnacentral:rRNA from 1 species